rnacentral:rRNA from 1 species
GAUGAACGCUGGCGGCGUGCUUAACACAUGCAAGUCGAACGGAAAGGCCCAAGCUUGCUUGGGUACUCGAGUGGCGAACGGGUGAGUAACACGUGGGUGAUCUGCCCUGCACUUCGGGAUAAGCCUGGGAAACUGGGUCUAAUACCGGAUAGGACGAUGGUUUGGAUGCCAUUGUGGAAAGUUUUUUCGGUGUGGGAUGAGCUCGCGGCCUAUCAGCUUGUUGGUGGGGUAAUGGCCUACCAAGGCGUCGACGGGUAGCCGGCCUGAGAGGGUGUACGGCGACAUUGCGACUGAGAUACGGCCCAGACUCCUACGGGAGGCAGCAGUGGGGAAUAUUGCACAAUGGGCGCAAGCCUGAUGCAGCGACGCCGCGUGGGGGAUGACGGCCUUCGGGUUGUAAACUCCUUUCGCUAGGGACGAAGCGUUUUUGUGACGGUACCUGGAGAAGAAGCACCGGCUAACUACGUG